rnacentral:lncRNA from 1 species
GGUUGCUCCCCUGCCGGGUGUGUUAGAAGCAAGUUAGAGGAAGAAGGUCUUGGGGACUACGGGCGCCACCGAGAACCCAUACGAGGCAGCCGCCGACGGCGGGUCGCCGGGGCGGGGCCAGAACGGCGCCAAGGCCAACCAGAACGGCGGCAAGAACUAGGGGGACGCGGGGCAGGUGCUGUGGGAGUUGGCUGGACCUGUGGGAUCGACGUCUGCGCCGUCCAGGAGCCGCCCAGGGGAGAGAGCGGAGACUCGGGAGGAGGAUGUGCGCUCCGACCCGGGCAAGGCUUCCCAUCCCUCCCUUCCUCUUCUCUCCUUCCCUCCACCUGGGCUCGGAGUCAGGAUCUGACCGCGGGCUCUGCCCAGGAAGACCGAGUUCCUUGAGAGCGACACCUAAGCGCCGGGGAAGACAGGGAUAGAAGAGACGACAGCCCUUUGAUAAGAGGGUUUUUAGACUAACUUCCACCUGUGACGAGUGCAUGGGGCCUGCGCCCUGAGAGGUUGCCUUUCCUUUUCCUCUCCCACCCUGGGGGUUUGUGGUGAUGUUAAGUUCUGUUAGGACCAAGGUGGAUCUCAGUAAGGAGGUAGAGUAGAUUUGUGAACAGCUGUCGGAGGUAGAAUCUUUGCAGACCCAGAGUGGGUGGGUGUAGACACUUUGCCAUGGGUGGUAGCUUUAUUUGUAAUCCUCCCAGUGAAAGCUUUGGGAAAUCCAGCCCUCCCAAACUCUUGCCUUUCUUGUAAGACUUUCUAAGCGCAUGGCUUUGUCGUAAGACUUCUCGUGGCCAUGUGUCUCACCCUACCGUUCGUCUCACCAAUGAACCAGAGCUGGGAUACCAGCAAAAAGGACCCAAAAGACUGUUUCACCACAAUUGAAGAGGUCGUGGACCAUCCCCCAAAAUGAAUCCCAACACUGGAAGACCAAGAGGGUUGACGUUUGCUAUCUUGAAAGCUGCAGCCCCCGUAGAGAAGAUCCUAGAGCAGAAGGAGCACAGGCUGGGCUGCCAUAGCAUGGACCCCCAAAAAGCCACUGUCAUGAAGAAAUAUCCUGUGAAGAAAAUCUUUGCAGGGCACCUGAACUCCCAAAGCCACUGAGGAGAAGGUAUGGAGGCCAUUGAACUUUCAGUGGAUCCAAAGUCUAACAAAAGACAAUGUCUUGUUUUCGUCACCCCCCAAAGAAGAGGAACCUGUGAGAAAUAUUCUGGAGAAAUUUAACACCAUCAGUGGAAGCAAGGUGAGGAGUCUCUACCUCCAUGUGCCUCCCCUCCUGCCUCUGGAGAGGUAGCCCUUUGGUUAAUGGCAACCCAAUAGGGUAACCAACCAUCCCAUUUUAGCAUUGAGAGCAUUGUGUCCUGGGAGACCCUUCCCUGGAAUGUAAAUAAUCCUGGUUUUAGCAACAAAGUGUGGAAGGUUGGAGGAAAUGCACAAAACCCGUAAGUUUUAGAGGGUCUGAAAGCAACAUUGUCUAUCAAAUGGAUACGGCACAGAUUAUUCAUCUUUACUUGUUGUCACCCAUUUGACCACUGAUACUGGCAACCAUAAUUUGUAGUUCAGAAUGGUCAUCCAUCCAUCGUUGCAUCAUUCAAAGUGAUGUGGCUUAAGUGUAUAUAAUGAUUAUUAAUAGUUCAUCUUCGACUUUGCCUGUGGAUUAAUUGGUGUGCUUUGUAACAAGAUAGUGCUAGUUUAAUUUUUUAACAUUGUGAAUAUUGUGACCAUGUUUUCUAAGAGGUCAGAUAAUGAGAAUGGUUAUAAUACCAAUGCAACCAUGACCCCAUCACUGAAGAAGAAGGCUAAACGACUAUGUAAUUUUGAUGAUGGAUGGAAGGACACAUACUACUGAACUAGGAAGGUAAAUAACCAAAACAGAGCAUACUACAUAAUAUACAGAAAAAAAUUUGAGAUUGGACAUGGUGGAGAAGGGGAUGUGCAAGCACAUAUGGAGGGCAAAUCUCACAAGUAAGAUGGGACAGGUGAAUGCUUCUAAACCAAUCAAAAAUACCUUUGUUUCCCCAAAAGACACCAAUGCUCAGUCAAAAAUAGCAGCUGCUGAAUUAGCAUGGGCAUACCAGGCAAAUAAGCCUGCAUUGUCAUAGCGUUCCCUUGAUUGCUCUAUGAAACUGAGUAAAGUUUCAUUUCCUGAUUCAAGAAUUGCAGCUAAAAUAUCCUCUGGACAAAGAAGAAGGGAAAUUUUUUGAUAACAGAUGUGUUGGCUCCUUACAGUAUAAAGCCAAUUUCUGUCAUAUCUCACCAACAAUCCUGGUUUCUACAGUACAUCAAUUUUAAGUAAUAUGCCAAAUCAUGGCAGCAAAAAUAUGUUCCCUCUAGCUGUUAGGUACUUUGACUUGAAAACAGGAGUUUCAAAUCAUCUUCUUCAUUUCUGUGAGGAUUUUAAUGAAACUGCUGAAAUCAUAAAAUAUUGUUGAUAUUUUGUCUAAAUACAAACUAGACUUAGCUCAUCUAUCUGUGUAUUCGUCAGACAGUAUAGAUGUAAAAUUUUGGCAAAUUGCAUUCAGUCU